UGCGGCGUAUCAGGUUGUAGGGGGUGUAACGUACCCUCUAGCCCUCUACGCGUACGGGUGUUGGGAGACAUAGCCCGGAGAUGGAUUCUGAGACAUGAAUCCAGACCCUACGGGGUGCAGCAGGCGCGAAAACUUGGCAAUGCGAGAAAUCGUGACCAGGGAACUCCAAGUGCAUCGGGUAAGACCGGUGCUUUUCUUGACUCUAAAUAGGUCUUGGAAUAAGGGGUGGGUAAGGACGGUGCCAGCCGCCGCGGUAAUACCGGCGCCUCAAGUGGUAGUCGCUUUUAUUGGGCCUAAAACGUCCGUAGCCGGUCUGAUACAUUCGUGGGUAAAUCAACCAGCUCAACUGGUUGAAUUCUGCGAGGACGGUCAGACUUGGGACCGGGAGAGGUGUGGGGUACGCUCAGGGUAGGGGUAAAAUCCUGUCAUCCUGAGCGGACCACCUGUUGCGAAGGCGCCACACUAGAACGGAUCCGACGGUCAGGGACGAAGCCUAGGGGCACGAACCGGAUUAGAUACCCGGGUAGUCCUAGGUGUAAACGCUGUGGACUUGAUGUUGGGGGUGCUCCGAGCACUCUCAGUGUCGAAGCGAAGGUGAUAAGUCCACUGCCUGGGAAGUACGGUCGCAAGGCUGAAACUUAAAGGAAUUGGCGGGGGAGCACCGCAACCUGAGGAUUGUGCGGUUUAAUUGGACUCAAC
rnacentral:rRNA from 1 species